UUGUGCUUGAUCCCUGGCUCAGGACGAACGCUGGCGGCGUGCUUAACACAUGCAAGUCGAACGAUGAAAGAGGGAGCUUGCUUCUUCUGGAUUAGUGGCGAACGGGUGAGUAACACGUGAGCAAUCUGCCCUUGACUCUGGGAUAAGCGUUGGAAACGACGUCUAAUACCGGAUACGACCCUCGGAGGCAUCUCCUGGGGGUGGAAAGAAUUUUGGUCAAGGAUGAGCUCGCGGCCUAUCAGCUAGUUGGUGAGGUAAUGGCUCACCAAGGCGACGACGGGUAGCCGGCCUGAGAGGGUGACCGGCCACACUGGGACUGAGACACGGCCCAGACUCCUACGGGAGGCAGCAGUGGGGAAUAUUGCACAAUGGGCGAAAGCCUGAUGCAGCAACGCCGCGUGAGGGAUGACGGCCUUCGGGUUGUAAACCUCUUUUAGUAGGGAAGAAGCGAAAGUGACGGUACCUGCAGAAAAAGCACCGGCUAA
rnacentral:rRNA from 1 species